rnacentral:lncRNA from 1 species
AAGCAAACCCCCUUGAUCAUUCUUAUAUCGCCUAUGUCUUUCUUCCUACUGCUUGCAUUAGAAUUUUGCUACUGUUGUAGUUAGCUCCUAUAUCUGAUGCAUAGCCAAUUUUUGAUGAACUGCUACUUUUAGUACCUGCACUUUAAACUGUUUAGUAUAGGUGGAGCAGUCAUCCCCUCUGACCCCUUAAUUCAGUUGCCC